GAGUCGUUAUUCGCUUAUUCAAGAUAGCAACAACAACAAAACUGAAUUUGAAAUCAAAUGUACUAUAAUUGUGGUGAUAAAAUAACAAAUUUAGACUAUUGAUUUGAGAAAUUCCACAGUUUGAUGAAUAUUUUUUUCAGGUUAAGUUGUGUAGUGAUGCAUGCCGUUCGCUGGCGUGGAACAACGUGCUCCCAUCUAGUCCAUUGUGAAAACUUUCAUCGUGACUUCAGUGCAGGAUAGUUGGACACAGAAUGAAAGAAGAGAGGCUGUCUAGGAAGACGAUGGAAUUGGGAGUACACAGGAACAAGGCCCCCAAGGAAGACAAGGAGGAGGUUGGAAGAGCAGAAGAGAGAGGAGAAGAUUGGUGCAGCGACAGAGGAAGUCGGAGGUAUUUUACUUCGCUGACCCGGCAACAGGCUGGAGGCAGUUGAUGUUUAUGAUUAUCAUGUUACACACUUGUUUCAGUAAACUGAUGCAGUCUUGCAGAUUAAGAAAAUGAGACUUGUAAAAAUUUUCUCCAGGUAUUUAACUUGACAGGUUUCUUCAUCUAGUCUGGUAAAGCAAAUUCUCUCACACACUUAAAAGACAUAACUGCUGGUCCACUCUGUAUUUUUUUUUUUAUGUAUUAAUACUUUCUUCCUUGUUAUAUUUGAGUGGUCAGACUAGAAAAAAAUUAAAUAAACAGAGACAAAUUUUGUGUUGCAGUUUAUCAACAUCCUAUCUGUAAUUGGGCAGAAAUUCAGAAUUAUUGGUGUGUGAUUAUGCACUUUUUAGAGACUGAUGAAGUUGUGAGUUUUUUGGUUUUGUUUUUUUAACAACGUAUAUUUUGAUUUCUCUUGAACUUAUGUUAAAUUUUUUGUGAGGUUUGAUCUAUAUUUAAAACAAUUUAUCUAGCUGCAUGCUAGUGCCAAAUUACAUAAUACCAAAAUAAAGGGUCCGUAAAUAUGGCACUUUCUUAUCAUGAUUUAUAACUUUGUGAUUAACAAAUUUUAAUAAUUUGUAAAGACAAUCAAAUUAAAGUUAUAAAUAUUAGUAUACGCAAUAUCAGAAGAUAAUUUUAAGCAAUAAUAAAAUAUGUAAUUUUUGUACUGUACUACUAUUACAACAUAUACCCAAGUUGAAAUUACCUGCAAGGUAAAAUAUCUUUAUUUUGAAUUACUAUAUAUGUACUUUCUAAGAUGUUUCUCCAUCGUACAUUAUGGCAUAAGUAUUAUUUUAGUUGAAAAAGACAUAGUGACAUAAUUUUGUGAUAUUUGUACAAACAUUUCACGUUAUUUUCCAGGGGGCAAAAAUACUUUGUUUUACAUGAUAAGAAAAAUAUUUUGUACUAAAUAAUCUGCUUAGCACUAUAUGUAACUCCUAUGUAAUUUCUAGGGGCUGUGAAAACAUUUUGUAUUAAGGUAAUGAAGUUUAAUUGAAGUACUUAUUUUUGAGUAAAGUGGUUUCUUAAAUUGAAAUGUACAAAAUUUAAAAUUCAUAGUAGUUAAAUGCAUUCUGUGUAUGUAUUGCCUGCUGGAAAAUCAUUCAGUCUGUCUCGCAGCCUUGCAUUUAGAAUGUUACACAGUAUCACAUAUUGUUUAAAUUAUUAUUGUUUGUUAGUUUUUCAUAUUUGGUUUAAUUUUUAAAUUAUGUUUGAAUUGUUUAUUUUGUUGUUUAAAUUGAUUACAGUGUUUUAUCACACAGUUAUUUUAGGAUGUCAAAAUUUGGAGAAAAAAUUCUCACAUAAACAUUGCAUGAUGUUUUUGGUCCUGCUGUUAGAUUCUUGAUGCUUUGUCUAGGUUGUAAACAUGACAGGAUAAAGCAGCGUUGAACAGCAUUCGGUUUUCAAGUGGCUGUCGAACAAUUUGAUAGUUAUAAUGGGAAAAUAUAGUAUUACAAUUAAAAUGAACCGGUACAAUAUGAAUUUCUAUCUGAUAUGGUCAAUAUUUUUUUAGUCUUGCCCUUUGCCCAAUAUAUGUUACUUUUACUGUGUACAAUGUUGCCCAAGAUGUUUUCUUUCCCAUAUAAAAUUAUAUUUAGUUAUGUUUUCCAGCCUGUGUUAGGGUUACAGUUUUUUCCCCCCUCUAUUUAAAGUUGAACUAAAUAGGGGUUUGUUGCAUGACUUGCUUUUUAAUUAAAUGUACUAUACAUGCAAUGUGUUUUGUUAUUAUGAAAAACUUUUCAAUUGUGAUGUUAAUAAAUUAUGUGAUAAAACACUAUGGUUAAGAGUAAUGGUACAUUUCUAACAAGUGUUGACUGCCAAGCAUCUAAUGUUUGUAUUCAUGAAUUAUUUUAGACUUGGUGUCCUAUGAGUAGAUGAUAAAUUAAGGCUUUAGAAUUCUUAUAUGACAAUGAACAUGUUCACAGAACCAUUGGAUUUUUUAAAUCUUGUAACAUAUUCCUUGUUAAUAAUUUAUGUUCACUAAAUAAAUAUAUAAAAAUUUUGUUUUGAACAGGAAA